rnacentral:lncRNA from 1 species
GUAGCAGUAACAUACUCAGAUGUUGCACCCACGGGCUUUACCAGUAUAGAAGAAGAUUGUUCUGUGGUUGCAACCGUUGUUGCCUCAGUCGUUGUUGGCUCUUUUUGCAGUUAGGCUGAGAAAAUCUAUUUGGUAUAGUUCAAUUGGGUUUUCAUUUAUUGGGCUUUAAUAACAAACUCUAGUAGUGAAAUGCGCUCGUUAGCCUAGUGUAAUUUUUCUUAUUUGCAAUUUAUGGACCACUAUCCAAACUUCUCCCUAAAAGCACCAUUAACCCAAACUUAUCAGUAGAGUCCGCAAAACAGUACUAACACCAGCGUUUAAUUAGACAGAAAAAACACUUGUACUUAAUUUUUGUGUGGAUCUCAUCCACUAUUAUAUUAAUUUUCUGCUAAGCUCUCCCCUCUAAGUAUCUCCAUUAAUGCUGCUCUAAUAACGUUCGUGUGUAUAUAUAUAUACUAGAAGAAGUCCGCGCUAGGCGCGAAAUUUAAUGUAUUUUUUAUUUAAGUCAUAUAUAUAUUUUGAAAUAAAUUUAUUUAUGUUUUCAAGCAAUUUUUAUUUGUUCGGAUUUGCAUUUUGAUGUUUUGUUUGUAAUUAUUAUAUAUUUUGCAACUGCUUCCAAUUUGGUGUCUUUUUAGAUUACAUUAAAAUACUAAUACUACAUAU